rnacentral:rRNA from 1 species
UACAGGGGGUGCAAACGUUGCUCGGAAUCAUUGGGCGUAAAGCGCACGUAGGCGGUUCGUUAUGUCGGAUGUGAAAGCCCUUGGCUUAACCGAGGAAGUGCAUCCGAAACUGGCGAGCUAGAGUACGAAAGAGGAUCGCGGAAUUCCCGGUGUAGAGGUGAAAUGCGCAGAUAUCGGGAGGAACACCGGUGGCGAAGGCGGUUCUCUGGGCCUUACCUGACGCUGAGGAGCGAAAGCGUGGGGAGCGAACAGG